UACGAAGGGGGCUAGCGUUGUUCGGAAUUACUGGGCGUAAAGGGCGCGUAGGCGGUGUGUCAAGUCAGGCGUGAAAGCCCCGGGCUCAACCUGGGAAUUGCGCGCGAAACGGGAGGGCUUGAGUUCGGGAGAGGAGCGUGGAAUUCCCAGUGUAGAGGUGAAAUGCGUAGAUAUCUGGAGGAACACCGGUGGCGAAGGCGGCAUCCUGGACCGAGAUUGACGCUGAUGCGCGAAAGCCAGGGGAGCAAACGGG
rnacentral:rRNA from 1 species